CAACAUUCGUUGAAACAUCUGCGAACAGUAUCUCUCACCGGUAACCAUAAAAAAACUUCAGCAAAAGCUUCAAACGGGAUCAAUAACACGCAACCGAGAAGGAUCCGAAGAUCAUCAAACUCUGAUACCAUGAAAACAUGAAGAUUAAGCUGAAGAACAUGAAGAAUACAGUGAGAGAAAGAAGAGAGAGAAAGGGAGUAGUUGAGAGAACUCUCCAGAACUUUUAGUGUCAGAUGAAAUGAACCACUAAUCCCUACAAAUAUCUGUACAAGUGUUGGUAUAUACACAGCCAUACAACACUCUUGGGUCGGGUCAGACGGCCCAAGAGUAAAAAUAAAUCGGGCUCAGAUAGUUACAGCCCAACAACAAUUAAGCUGAAGAACAUGAAGAAUACAGUGAGAGAAAGAAGAGAGAGAAAGAGAGUGGUUGAGAGAACUCUCCAGAACUUUGAGAGUCCGAUGAAAU
rnacentral:lncRNA from 1 species